AGCGUGCGACCCAAGUCAAGAGCUGGUGCAUCGAGGGGCUCCGUCAGCGUGCGACCCAAGUCGAGAGCUGGUGCAUCGAGAGGCUCCGUCAGCGUGCUUCGUGUUUGAUGGAAUACAUCGAGUGUCAUCAUCAAGUACUCCAGUGAAGAAGCAACCAACAGUGCAGUUUCAUGUUCAGAAUUGUGUUUCACAUAGAUGUUAUCUAAAACAUAUGAUGGUGUUAUUACUUAUUUCUAGACAUGUAAUUUUUACGUUGUUUGUGUUAAAUAAUAUAUUAUCAUUAAAUGUAUCGGUGCCAUUUGUUGAAAUGGUCAUCAAAAUAAUAUAUAUAAUUAUUAAA
rnacentral:misc_RNA from 1 species